AAUUCUCAACUUGAACUCCUUUCGAGGGUUUUUCAAGCUUGGAUUUGGAUCUGCCGGUGUCUCUUUGUCCGUUGGGCUCGGCCUGGCUCCUCUGAAAUGUGUUAGCAAGGAACUUCUUUUGCCCCUUUGGGUGUGAUAGUUGUCUACGCCCCUGGGGUUGUCUUGCUUCUAAUUUUCCAUAUGAA
rnacentral:misc_RNA from 1 species